GGGACUGUGGCUUAGUGGUAGAGUGCUUGCCUAGCAUGCAUGAAGUCCUAGGUUUGAAUUCCUCAGUGCCA
rnacentral:tRNA from 1 species